AUGAAGUUGUCUCGAUCUCGACAUUCAUGUCUCAGAACGCCCGAGGAUAGUGCCGAGAAGACCAACGUGGCGUGGGAGCCAUCCAAGGAUUUUAAGCACCUGAACUUGAAGUUGCUCUGGAUGUUGUCCGGGUUUGAGGAGGAAGACAAGGUGACAACCUAUACAAGGCUUGUCAUGGAACGAGCUGUGGGGUUGAAGAAAAUCGAUGUGCAAGGUUACCGCCCAUGCAGGGGCAGCAAUGCCACCGACCCUGACAGAAAAUCCCAGGUGGAUGAAGCUAGCAGGCGUCGGAUUAAGGAGCGACUCGAGCAUGGAUCCUCCUCGUCUGUGGGCAUAAUAAUCCGUUGA
rnacentral:rRNA from 1 species